rnacentral:lncRNA from 1 species
GAUGCUGUGUGCCAGUGCCCAGGGCAAGGAGCUUAAGGGGUUGUAGUCCCCACUUUACAGAUGAGGCAGUUAAGCCCAGAUGCAGCAGAUAUUGCCGGGCACGGAGCAGUGCCU